UCUGUAUGCAGUUCUGAGUACUGAACACCACAUACUGCUUUUGAAUAACAGAUGAUUUCGUUUGGAGGACAUAACUGCUAAACCCUUCCCCUUCUCCCUGGCUCUCUGGCAUUCCAGCUGAGAUAAUCAGUAGAAAGGGACUUGGCACCAAAUCUUGUCAGUCGACUGAUCUACCCAGACGCCACUGCUUUACACAGCACAAUCCGCCACAGGUAUGCACUGCUCCAAGGAUUAACAUCAAUCCAAAUGGUUUAGUCAUCAAUCCCCAGGGGAAAUAACUUGUAUAUUAUUUUACUCAUUUCAGUGACAAGUGAUAUCACAAUUAAAGAAACUUGCAGAGCAAAGUAGUAGAGUAAGAAACUCACUAUUGGAAUGUGAC
rnacentral:lncRNA from 1 species